CCUUUGAAAUCGUAAAUUUCCAUUCCCAUUAAAAAAUAAUUUGUACUGUAUAAGUAUAUUUCUUUUGAGCUUCAUUUUUUUUUUCAAAAUACUGCAACAUGAGCUUUAAAUUAUGACACAGUACAAUACUUGUUUCAAUAUUUACAUGUAAAUAAAAUAAUCCUAAUUACUUGUAAAAGUAAGGUUAUAAAUUUAAGAAUACAGAACUCUCUUUUAAAACCAAAGUGGCAUUAGACUAAUUUUAAAAUUCCCGCUAAAAGGAAAAAGGUAAAUCUGGCAACAGUGCCGUCGUUUGCUGGACAUUUUAAUCUCUCCCCUACGCCCUACCAUAGCCACCUUUACUUUGCCCUACCCAACCUGUUUGUUUGUGUAUUUGUGUUCUGUGUUCUGUUCCUGUUCGUUGGUCGUCACAUAGCCGUAGUGAAAUAAUUGAUUUAUUUGAUUUACAUCUUUAAUUUACAAUUUACUUACAUAUUUCAAAAACAAAGAAAAUGGGAUGUAGAUUAACUAUUAACUAAAAGGACCAUGUAUGAAGACCAGUAAAUAUUAUUUGUACAAUUAUAAAGAAAAAAAUACAGUAAUUCACAAAAAUAGAAUGGACAGAAAAGAAGAAAAUGAAGAUACAGUAACAAAAAUCAAGUUUGAGAAUAGUAUUUUUGUCAAACCUGAAUUCAUAAAAAACGAACCUGCUCCAGUUGAUCAAAAUACUCCUAGUGAAGACUGUGGACAUGGAGGUUCUAAUAUUAAUUUGGACCAAAUUAAAACAGAAUUAUCAGUUGAAGAUAAUAUGGCAUUUGAACAGAAGGGAGGUGACUUAGGAUUCCAGUAUUUUAAUAGUGAUGUUGAUAAUAUAAAACUAGAGUAUACUGCUAAAGGAAGUCAAAGCAGUGAACAUGUUGAUGAUGCACUUUUAGAUAGCUUGAAAACUGAAAUUAAAGAGGAGCCUGAUAGAGAAAGUACCCAAGAUACGUUUGAUGACUCAGACUUAAAUGAAUACUCGUUAAAAAUUGAAAUAGAAGAAAAUGAAACUAAAUUUAUGCCAUAUGAAGAAAAACAAAUGAACGAAAAAGACUUUCUCCAAGAGAAGAAGAGUUUGGAAAUUAUGAACACAGUAGAAGUACAUUCAUCUAAUAAAGAACAACACACUACUCAUACUGCUGAAGAAAAUUCAUUAAAAUGUGAAACUUGUGAUUUUCCCCAAGAGAAGGAGAGUUUGGGAAUUAUGAACACAGUAGAAGUACAUUCAUCUGAUAAAGAACAACACACUACUCAUACUGCAGAAGAAAAUUCAUUAAAAUGUGAAACUUGUGAUUUUCCCCAAGAGAAGGAGAGUUUGGGAAUUAUGAACACAGUAGAAGUACAUUCAUCUGAUAAAGAACAACACACUACUCAUACUGCAGAAGAAAAUUCAUUAAAAUGUGAAACUUGUGAUUUUCACCAAGAGAAGGAGAGUUUGGGAAUUAUGAACACCGUAGAACUACAUUCAUCUGAUAAAGAACUACACCCUACUCAUACUGCAGAAGAAAAUUCAUUAAAAUGUGAAACUUGUGAUUUUCCCCAAGAGAAGGAGAGUUUGGGAAUUAUGAACACAGUAGAAGUACAUUCAUCUGAUAAAGAACAACACACUACUCAUACUGCCGAAGAAAAUUCAUUAAAAUGUGAAACUUGUGGUAAGCAGUUUGAUAGAAAAAAUAAUUUAAAUCGACAUAUGAGAAUUCAUACUGGGGAAAAACCUUACGAGUGUGACAUUUGUCUUAAGCGGUUUUCUCAUAAAAAUAAUUUGAAAACUCAUUCAAGAGUACACACUGGAGAAACGCCUUACAAGUGUGAAAUUUGUUUUAAGCAGUUUAACCAAACUAGUAAUUUGAAAAAUCAUUUGAGAGUGCACACUGGAGAAACGCCUUACAAAUGUGACAUUUGUUUUAAGCGGUUUUCUCAGGAACGUCAUUUGAAAACGCAUUUGAGAGUGCACACUGGAGAAAAAAUGUACAAGUGUGAAAUAUGUUUUAAGCAAUUUACUCAAGCGGGAAUUUUGAAAACACAUUCCAUAAUACACACUGGCGAAAAACCUUAUAAGUGUGAAAUAUGUUUUAAGCAGUUUUCUUAUGUACAAAAUAUAAAACAACAUAUGCUAAUACACACGGAAGAAAAGCCAUACAAGUGUGAAAUUUGUUUUAAACCGUUUAGCGCAUCACACCAUUUAAAAAAUCAUAUUAUAAGAAUGCACACUGGACAAAAACUUCACAAGUGUGAAAUUUGUUUUAUGCAAUUUUAUGUGGCAAGCUCUUUGAAACAACAUAUGAGAAUGCACUCUGGAGAUAAUGAUUAUAAGUGUGCAAUUUGUUUUAAACCGUUUAACACAUCACACCAUUUGAAAAAUCAUAUAAGAACCCACACCGGAGAAAAACCUCACAAGUGUGGAAUUUGUUUUAAACAAUUUUCUGAGAAAUCUAAUUUGAAAAAACAUUCGAGAGUACACACUGGAGAAAAGCCAUUCAAUUGUGAAAUUUGUUUUAAACAAUUUAGUGCGUCAGGAAGUUUAAAGGUUCAUUAUUUAAGGAUACACUCUGAAGAAAAGCGGUAAAAAUGUGAAAUCUGUUUAAGCAGUCUAUUUCAGCAACUACAAAAAGGUCAAAUCAACUGAAGGGCAGUGGUUCGAUAAAGAGUAUCGUAGCAUAACAGAGAGAAAAAAUAAUGUAUAUCAACGAUUACAACAACGACAGAACACGACAGGCACAUGAGGAAUAUAGAAUGUUCAGGAGGGAAGAGAAGAAAUUACAUCGCAGAAAGAAAAGAGAACACAUAGAAAAAGAACUCCAAGAAAUGGAAGAAUUAAAUAAACCAACAGAAACCAGAAAAUUCUUCCAAAAACUUAACAAAAGCAGAAAAGAAUUUAAACCAAGAAAGAUGAUGCGCAGAGACAAAGAAGGAGACAUAGUAACUCAACAGAGUGAAAUACUACAAAGAUGGAUAGAAUUCACGAGGAAACAAUUUUCCUGUUGUUGUAUGUAUACCAUUACAAAAACAUAAAAUCCUUUAUAAAAGUUAUAUUUGUUAAAAUCCCUAUACAGGACUACAUCAAAGACAUAACUAGUUUUCAAUCGGUUGACCGAUCAUCAUCAGUGUAAUCCGCUAUCAAAAUCACUUGCUUCCAUACAGCCAUGAUGUGAACUAUUCAAAUUGAGCUCAUUGGUACAUCGAGCGUGAAACAUUGGAUAUUUUAUACAUCCAUGUUCAAAACCACAUCUUUUUCAUAUGUUCCUAUGACGGAUUAAUUAUAAAGGGUUUAUACCCAAAUAUUUUUUACUUUGGUGGUUAGCAUGUUAGAUUCUGAGAUUACACUGAUGAUGAUCGGUCAACCGAUUGAAAACUAGUUGUCUUUAAUGUAGCCCUGUAUAGGGAUUUUAACAAAUAUACCUUUUAUAAAGGAUUUUAUGUUUAUGGAUAGAAUCCUUCAAAGAAAAGUUUGAAAAAAACGGAGAUCCACUCUACGAUGGAAUUAUACUGGAUCAAACGGAUACCAGAGAAACAACCCCCCUUCAGUAGCUGAAAUGCAAAAAGAAGUUACCAGACUGAAAAACAAUAAGUCACCUGGAUUAGGCAACAUUAGCGCAGAAAUAAUAAAGGAAUGCGAUACACGAACUAAUAGUUAACAUAUGGAAUAAUAAACAACUGCCACAAGACUGGAAUACCGGAGUAAUUAUUCCACUACAUAAAAAGGGAGAUCAGCUUCAAUGUAAAAACUACCGGGCAAUAACACUACUGAAUGUGGCAUAUAAAAUACUAUCAAAUAUUGUGUAUGAGCGAUUGAGACCAUAUGCGGAACAAAUAGUUGGGGGAUAUCAAUGCAGGCAGAAGUCCACAAUAGAUGAGAUCUUCGUCUUGAGGCAAAUCUUGGAAAAUACUAGUAAAUUUAAUAUAGACACACAUCAUCUCUUCAUUGAUUUUGAGAGUGCCUAUGAUAGUAUCCAUCGAGAAUUUCUGAUCCACUGCCUGAAAGAGUUUAAUAUUCCAAAUCGACUCAUUGAUAUAGUAAAAGAAACAAAGUAAAAUUCGAAUUCAAAAUGCACUAACAGAUACAAUCCAUGUUAAAACGGGCCUACGACACACAGUGGUUCCAAAUGCCGAAAACGUGGUCAUGAACCUUUAAAAGCGUAUAUCGUUUAUACACUUCGGAAUUACUUUCGUACUCAAAGGUUUUUGGCAUCGCUGAUUACGAAUCUGAAAUUAUUUUUUCUGAAAAACAAAAUGGCGGAUCCAACAUGGCGGAAAGAAAUUGAAAAUAUCAAUCACAGCGCAAAUUUUUUUGAUAAAUUUUGUAGUUUAAUGUCGCUGAUAUUACAGAUAUAACAUUAUUUCUUUUUAAAACAAAAUGGCGGAUUCAAUAUGACAAAAAGAAAUUCGAAAAUUUUAUGUUAAACGCAUAUUUGUUUAAAAUUUUAUAUUAUAAGGGACUUUUGAAAUUACUGAUUACCAAUACAUUUUCUUUAUAAAGUACAAUAUUCAAAACCUAUUACUUAUGUACAACCACCCAUACAUACUCAACAAUCGCCAGAAUCAUGUAAUAUGCGUCAUUUCCUACUUUUGUAUUCAAACAACUGCCAGCAGUGCAUAGACAGUUAUAGACAGAUAAAGCAAAGUGAUUCGGUAUCUUGGUACUAUAUACAUAUUUUAAGAUCAAUAAACACUAAAAUUUUGAUUAUUUCAGGUAUAUUUUUACUAUUUAUGCAUUAACAAAUUAAAGGCAUUUAUUGUUACUAAAUCUUAAGUUAACUUACAUCAUACAUUACUACAUACUUAAAAAAAGAAGAAUCUGCUUUACAGCAAUAAAAUUGAUAAACUAAAAAACGUUUUACAGCGUGUUGAAUAUACACGUUUUUUUCACUUUCUCUGCCGGCCAAAAUAAUCUUGGACAUGGUUCACUUGUUCCUAAGCUAUGAACCAGAAUACAUCCAGUUUGAUCCUUAUAGCUGCGUAUUACGACUCUACGAUAGUAUGAGAAAACAACUGUAAACAUGAAAAUCCCUAAAUAAGGACGUUUUAUUUUAGCUCAUGACCACGUUUUCAGCAUUUGGAACCACUGUGCGACAGGGAGAUGCCCUCUCCUGUAUUCUAUUGAACAUCACAUUAGAGAAAAUAAUUAGAGUCAAAAGUCAACACCAGAGGGACAAUAAUAACAAAAAGUGUACAAAUAUUGGCAUUUGCAGAUGAUGUUGAUAUCAUAGCUAGAAGCGAAAGAAAAAUGAUAGAUGCAUUUAAUGCGAUAGAAAUAGCGAUAAAAAACAGUGGCCUAAAUAUUAAUUAAAUAAAAACCAAAUACAUGAAGGCCAGGAAAUCGACAGGCCAAAGAAACCUACAGAAUCUGACAAUAGGAGUUCACUAGUUACCGCAGAUAACAAUGUCAGCGAAGAAGUUAAGAGAAGAAUACACAUUGCUAAUAAAACAUAUAAUGGACUAAUUAAACAUCUAAGAUCUAACAUCACGAGAAAAACCAAUGUAGAAAUAUUCUACAAAAGUUAUGCGGUACCACAUGGGGUUGUAAUUGUAAUUGUAAUAUGUAUUGUAAUUGAAAGGAAUUUCGAAAUAACCGACCG
rnacentral:misc_RNA from 1 species